AGAGUUUGAUCCUGGCUCAGGAUGAACGCUGGCGGCGUGCUUAAUACAUGCAAGUCGAACGAAGAUAUUUCGCCGAAGUUUACUCAUUGAGAUAUCUUAGUGGCGGACGGGUGAGUAACGCGUGGGUAACCUGCCUUACACAGGGGGAUAACAGUUAGAAAUGACUGCUAAUACCGCAUAAGCGCACAGUUAUCGCAUGAUAGAGUGUGAAAAGAUUUAUCGGUGUAAGAUGGACCCGCGUCUGAUUAGCUAGUUGGUGAGGUAACGGCCCACCAAGGCGACGAUCAGUAGCCGGCCUGAGAGGGUGAACGGCCACAUUGGGACUGAGACACGGCCCAAACUCCUACGGGAGGCAGCAGUAGGGAAUAUUGGACAAUGGGGGAAACCCUGAUCCCAGCGACGCCGCGUGAGUGAAGAAGUAUUUCGGUACGUAAAGCUCUAUCAGCAGGGAAGAAAAUGACGGUACCUGACUAAGAAGCACCGGCUAAAUACGUGCCAGCCGCUGC
rnacentral:rRNA from 1 species